ACCGGCAGCUCAAGUGGUGGCCAUUUUUAUUGGGCCUAAAGCGUUCGUAGCCGGUUUGAUAAGUCUCUGGUGAAAUCCCGCAGCUUAACUGUGGGACUUGAUGGAGAUACUAUUAGACUUGAGGUCGGGAGAGGUUAGGGGUACUCCCACGGUAGGGGUGAAAUCCUAUAGUCCUGGGAGGACCACCUGUGGCGAAGGCGCCUAACUGGAAUGAACCUGACGGUGAGUAACGAAAGCCCGGGGCGUUUACCG
rnacentral:rRNA from 1 species